rnacentral:rRNA from 1 species
AACGAACGCUGGCGGCAUGCCUAGCACAUGCAAGUCGAACGAGACCUUCGGGUCUAGUGGCGCACGGGUGCGUAACGCGUGGGAACCUGCCCUUAGGUUCGGAAUAACUCCCCGAAAGGGGUGCUAAUACCGGAUAAUGUCUUCGGACCAAAGAUUUAUCGCCUUUGGAUGGGCCCGCGUUGGAUUAGCUAGUUGGUAGGGUAAAAGCCUACCAAGGCGACGAUCCAUAGCUGGUCUGAGAGGAUGAUCAGCCACACUGGGACUGAGACACGGCCCAGACUCCUACGGGAGGCAGCAGUGGGGAAUAUUGGACAAUGGGCGAAAGCCUGAUCCAGCAAUGCCGCGUGAGUGAUGAAGGCCUUAGGGUUGUAAAGCUCUUUUACCCGGGAUGAUAAUGACAGUACCGGGAGAAUAAGCUCCGGCUAACUCCGUGC